rnacentral:lncRNA from 1 species
ACCCCAUAUCACCCAAUGGGGAAUGGUGCCGUUGAGCGUUUCAACAGGACGCUUGGAAAUAUGAUUCGUGCGUUACCUCCAGGUGAGAAACAUGAUUCGCCGAGGCGGUUACAGUCUCUCACUUUCAUGUAUAAUUGUACAGUGCAUGAGACUACAGGAUUUGCCGCUUUUUAUCUCAUGUUUGGGAGGGUCCCCUGUCUGCCUGUAGACAUGAUGUUUCGAAGUGUUUUGAGUGACUCGACAUCAACUAAUUACUCUAAGUAUGUGUCUUCCCUAUCAAAAGAUCUUUCUGAAGCUAUGAACAUAGCUCAAAAACUUGCGUCUAAGGAGCAACAACGUCAUGCUGUGCUGUACAACAGAAAGGCAAAAGGGUCUAAUAUUGAUGUCUCUGAUCGCGUAUUACUGGCAAACCAUGCUGAAAGGGGGAAGAAAAAAAUCGCUGAUCGUUGGGAAUCUACGGUGUAUAUGGUGGUUGACAAAUUUCCUAGCACAAACACAUUCAGAAUUCAUAAUACUGUCACUGGCCAGGAGAAAAUAGUUCACCGUAAUUUGUUGUUAUUGGCCAACGUCCUUCCUGUGAUGGAUAUCUGCUAUAAUGAUUCAGCAUCUCUGUCCCCUUCAAGUGAUGCUGAAGCUGAUGAUCCAUCGUCAAUUGAGAUUCCCCCUCCGCAUUUCAUUCAAGAUGAGAUUACUGUUGGAGUUUCUGAUGAUAACUGUUCAGAUGAGACCAUUAAUGCAGGUUCUAAUGUUGACACCAGCAAGACGGUUCUUGAUGACCCUGCUAGUAUUGUCCCCAAUCCAGCUGAAUCUGUGCCUAUAAUGGAUGAAACGGAUAUCUGUGAACACACGGAGGCAACUUCUUCGGGUUCUUGUGUCAAAGACUGUACCUAUAGAACUCUAGAAUGGGUCUCUCAGUUACCUGAUGAUAGCUCUGAUCGAGCUGAUCCUGGUUUGCAAAGCGAGGUGUCUUAUCCUGUCAAUGCAACCAAUGAUUCUGAUGCGGUGGAUGGAAUGGCAGGUGGAUCUACUGCUCUUCCAGAACAGUUUUCUGUGACUUUAACACUAUUAAACCAGCAAUGUGAUUCGAGCGGUAGUCAAUCUGUUCAAGAGCGAGUCAAUGACGACGCUCCAAGUGGAUUUGUUCAAGUGACAUCCCGAUUUGUACGUGUUAUUAAACCUGUGAACAGA